AGAUUUCAGUCAGUGAAUAA
rnacentral:snRNA from 1 species